GACGAACGCUGGCGGCGUGCUUAACACAUGCAAGUCGAACGGAGUGGAGAACGGGUGAGUAACACGUGGGUGAUCUGCCUCGCACUUCGGGAUAAGAUUGGGAAACUGGGACUAAUACCGGAUAGUGCCAGAGGCGCUCGCGGCAUAUCAGCUUGUUGGUGGGGUAAUGGUCUACCAAGGCGGCGACGGGUAGCCGGCCUGAGAGGUUGUACGGUCACAGUGGGUUUGAGAUACUGCCCAGACACCGACGGGAGUCAGCAGUGGGGAAUAUUGCACAAUGGUCGGAGGCCUGAUGCAGCGACGCCGCGUGGGGGAUGAAUGCCUUCCGGUUGUGAACUCCUUGCGACAGGGACGCGGUACCUGUAUAAGAAGCACCGGCUAAUUACGUGACAGCAGCCGCGGUAAUAC
rnacentral:rRNA from 1 species